rnacentral:rRNA from 1 species
GAUGAACGCUGGCGGCGUGCCUAAUACAUGCAAGUCGAGCGAACGGACGAGAAGCUUUCUUCUCUGGUGUUAGCGGCGGACGGGUGAGUAACACGUGGAUAACCUACCUAUAAGACUGGGAUAACUUCGGGAAACCGGAGAUAAUACCGGAUAAUAUUUUGAACCGCAUGGUUCAAGAGUGAAAGACGGUCUUGCUGUCACUUAUAGAUGGAUACGCGCUGCAUUAGCUAGUUGGUAAGGUAACGGCUUACCAAGGCAACGAUGCAUAGCCGACCUGAGAGGGUGAUCGGCCACACUGGAACUGAGACACGCUCCAGACUCCUACGGGAGGCAGCAGUAGGGAAUCUUCCGCAAUGGGCGAAAGCCUGACGGAGCAACGCCGCGUGAGUGAUGAAGGUCUUCGGAUCGUAAAACUCUGUUAUUAGGGAAGAACAUAUGUGUAAGUAACUGUGCACAUCUUGACGGUACCUAAUCAGAAAGCCACGGCUAACUACGUG